rnacentral:rRNA from 1 species
UACAGAGGGGGCAAGCGUUGUUCGGAAUUACUGGGCGUAAAGGGCGCGUAGGCGGCCUGUUAAGUCGAACGUGAAAUCCCUGGGCUCAACCCAGGAACUGCGUCCGAUACUGGCAGGCUUGAAUUCGGGAGAGGGAUGCGGAAUUCCAGGUGUAGCGGUGAAAUGCGUAGAUAUCUGGAGGAACACCGGCGGUGUAGACGGCUCUCUGGACAGUAACUGACGCUGAGACACGAAAGCGUGGGGAGCAAACAGG